GCCUGGGUGGCUCAGUCGGUUAAGCAUCUGACUUCAGCUCAGGUCACGAUAUCGCGGUCCGUGAGUUCGAGCCCCGCGUCGGGCU
rnacentral:tRNA from 1 species